rnacentral:rRNA from 1 species
AGCUCCAAUAGCGUAUAUUAAAGUUGUUGCAGUUAAAAAGCUCGUAGUUGGAUUUCUGUGAGAGUGCCUGCCUCGGCUCUGAUGCUUGUGGGCAGCGCUCUUACAUCCUUCUGUUAACUGUUCUUGGCUUUCAUUUGCUGGUUCAGGGCUCAGAUAUUUUACCUUGAGAAAAUUAGAGUGUUUCAGGCAGGCUUAUGCACGGAAUACAUUAGCAUGGAAUAAUGGAAUAGGACCUGUGCGUCUCUCGGGGCGCCGGUCUCUGUUGUUGGUUUCGGGGACUAAAGUAAUGAUUAAUAGGGAUAGUUGGGGGCAUUAGUAUUUAAUAGUCAGAGGUGAAAUUCUCGGAUUUGUUAAAGACUAACUUAUGCGAAAGCAUUUGCCAAGGAUGUUUUCAUUAAUC